UCUGCCAGAAAAUAUUAAGAUACCAUCUCUGUGUCAUUGACCUCGGAUUAUUCGGCUCCUCUCUCUCCAGAAUCAUCUUGCCUCGUAUGUUCUCGUGUUUUUUGUUCUUUCAAUUUUUUAUUAUAUUUUGUUAUCCGUUUCUCUUAACUGCUAUUUACUGGGCUAGAAGGGAGUUAGAGGUGCAAUUGCAAUAAAAGUUUCUUUCUUUUUGAUUGAACCAAUUUAAUAUUUUGUGGGUUGGAAUUCGUUGAUUGCUGAUGUGAUUACAAUUUUGAGGUGAUGAUCCGUUUCUUGGUUUUAGAAGGAAGUAGAAAAACUACAUAAAAGUAUUGUACCUUUGUUUGUCUAAUUUCUUUUCUGUAAAUUCUUGCUAUAUCUGUAUCUCUGUUCAAUUGAUGAUCACUGCAGCUUUUUUGUUUGCACGGAAACUUCCACUCAUCAAAUUCAACUUUUGUAUUUGUAUAAUUUUUUGUUUCUGGGAAUUUCAAUUUCUUUGCGUUAGGAGAAUUGCUUCUUUUUCUUCAAUAUCCGAUCAUGCAAUUUUUAUUAUUUUUUUGGCCUUGGCAGGUUGUUUGAGGUCUCCCCCUAUAAGAAAAAGGCAUUUGGGUGUUUUUUACUUGUGGGGAGAGGCUGCUGGUUCGCGAAGCCAGCUCAACUUCUGCGAGCUUGGGGACCUCUCUCGUAGUACAUUUUGGGUGGUGGGUGUUAAAUUUUUUGAUAUCCCUGUGAUUAGUAACAGGGUUUUCUGAAGACAUUGAGAGGGUCAGUAGUUUUAAGGGAUUGAAGUUAUCAACAGGGCAAGUAGAUUUUGUGAAGGUGUAAAGGGGGUAAAGCGGGGAAGGGGGGUUUCAGGGGUUGGAGUUGAGUGUUGACAGUAGCCAUGGGUGCUGCUUGUUGCUGUUUGAGGGAUGAAUUUGAGGAUCUUGCUAAUCCAAACAACCCAAUGUACAGCAACUGCAUAUGCCUUCGAUGCUUCCUUCAGAAUUUUGUGCAUAUGGUAUGCUAUGAAACCUUGUCCGUUUAUGGAUCAGCGUGUCUUUCAGAACUCAAAUCGAUAUAUCAUAUAUUGUUGUGCAUUAUUUCACCCCGUAGUUGUGUGCAUUGUGCUUCGAGUGUUUAGCAUGGCGUUUUUGCUUGCAUCAUUGUCAUGUUUUAACAACAAAAUAAUUCACUGGAUAUAAAAUUUUCAUGUAACAGUUUUAUGUCAUGAAUCUAUGUGGAUGUUAAAUACAUUCGGGUGCAAAUCUGAUUUGGUAUAAUGUUGAAUUAUACAGUAUGCAUCUCU
rnacentral:lncRNA from 1 species